GCCGCCCUGCGGCGCGCCCGCCGCCGCGGCCUCCUCGAGGUGCGUCCCCGACUGUCCCCAACAUCUGCCACCCGUCCCCGCGGGGUCCCCGAGACGUUCUCCAUCCCCUUGGUGUCCCCAAGACGUUCUCCAUCCCCGUGGCGUCCUCGAGAUGUUCUCCAUCCCCGUGGCGUCCCUGAGAUGUUCUCUAUCCCCACGGUGUCCCCGAGGUGCUGUCUGUCACCCGUGUGUCUCCAGGGCGUCCCUGCAGUGUCCCCCAUGGUGACCUGAGGUGUCCCCCCAGGUGUUCUCCAUCCCUGAGGUGUCCCCAAGAUGUUCUCCAUCCCCGUAGGGCCCCAAGAGGUUCUCCAUCCCCACGGUGUCCCCGAGGUCACCCAUCCCCAGUGCCUCUCCAUGGAGUCCCCAUGGUGUCCCUAAGGCGUUCUCCAUCCCCGAGGUGUCUGUGGGGUGUCCCCAAGGUGUCACCCAUCCCCAGUGCCUCUCCACGGAGUCCCCAUGGUGCCCCCAAGGCGUUCUCUAUCCCCGAGGUGUCACCCAUCCCCAGUGCCUCUCCACGGAGUCCCCAUGGUGCCCCCAAGGCAUUCUCUAUCCCCGAGGUGUCCGUGGGGUGUCCCCAAGGUGUCACCCAUCCCCAGUGCCUCUCCACGGAGUCCCCAUGGUGUCCCUAAGGCGGCACCUCCCCCUAGGGUUGGGGGUCCCUGAUCCCCCCCAGAGGGGACACGCGGGGACACGAGUCGGGGACCCGGGGACGCGACGGGGCCAAGAAGAGGUGGAGCCAGGGCUGCGACCAUGUCGUGUUCUUGCAAGGCCCUAACGACGGCUAACGAAGAGCUAAAAAGGGCUAAUGAAGGCUAAUGAAGGGCUAAUGAGGCCUACUGAAGGCUAACGAGGGCUGACGAAGGCUACUGAAGGCUAACGAAGGGUUAAUGAGGGCUAAUGAGGCCUACUGAAGGCUAACGAGGGCUGACGAAGGCUACUGAAGGCUAACGAAGGGUUAAUGAGGGCUAAGGAGGCCUACUGAAGGCUAAUGAAGGGCUAACGAGGGCCGGCUAACGAGGGGGCAGCAGCCCCGGCAGGGCAGCGG
rnacentral:lncRNA from 1 species